GCUCAGUAGGGUUAGAGCGUUCGGUUCACAUCCGAAAGGUCCCUGGUUCGAAUCCAGG
rnacentral:tRNA from 1 species